CACAUUCCAGUGAAGAGGAAAGUACAAAUAAUAAGUUGCGUAGAGAGAUCUUGGUUGGUGAAAAAGAUUGGACAAAUUAUUUAGAAAAUGGCCUUGGAGGAAAAUCGUCGAUAAGUAGGCGGUUGACGGGUUGCUCACCGAUAUCAAGAGCACUAAUAACUCUAGCAUGGAUUAGAGCGUUAGUUUGAGGGAAACGUAAAGUUUCUAAAAAAAGGUGGUACCGCGAAGAAUAUUCGCCCUUUUA
rnacentral:ncRNA from 1 species